rnacentral:rRNA from 1 species
GAUGAACGCUGGCGGCGUGCCUAAUACAUGCAAGUCGAGCGAACAGACGAGGAGCUUGCUCCUCUGACGUUAGCGGCGGACGGGUGAGUAACACGUGGAUAACCUACCUAUAAGACUGGGAUAACUUCGGGAAACCGGAGCUAAUACUGGAUAAUAUAUUGAACCGCAUGGUUCAAUAGUGAAAGACGGUUUUACUGUCACUUAUAGCUGGAUCCGCGCCGCAUUAGCUAGUUGGUAAGGUAACGGCUUACCAAGGCAACGAUGCGUAGCCGACCUGAGAGGGUGAUCGGCCACACUGGAACUGAGACACGGUCCAGACUCCUACGGGAGGCAGCAGUAGGGAAUCUUCCGCAAUGGGCGAAAGCCUGACGGAGCAACGCCGCGUGAGUGAUGAAGGUCUUCGGAUCGUAAAACUCUGUUAUUAGGGAAGAACAAAUGUGUAAGUAACUAUGCACGUCUUGACGGUACCUAAUCAGAAAGCCACGGCUAACUACGUG